AAAUAUAAUAAGCUUGAUGAAUAACCAUUUAAAGUUUAAGUAAAAAGGCGAGUUUCAAGUAUAGAGAAGCAGAAAUUUAUUAAAUAACACACGAGACAUCGAUCGCUUCUAACAAAAUUCUUUGUUAAUUAAAUAAAUAAAGUCAAAGAUGUCCAAGUUUAUUAUUUUACUGUUGGUAACUAUGUUCGCUGUCACUAUUUACGCUGAUGAUGAAAAAACGUGUUCUGAUCCUGGCGAUGAUUGUGAAGAAAGUGAGGAGUGUUGCAGUGAGAUGUGUGAUAUGUAUAAUGAGAGAAAGCAAUGUUUCCCAUCAAAAGAACAAAUGAAACUAAUUGACAAAAACAUUGAUGCUGCUCCUCAAGAAUAAUAUAUUUUAUUCCAACGAUAUUUUGUUUAAAAUUAUACAAUGUGUAAUUGAAAUAUUUAAUUUGUUUGAUUGUACAAUAAAUAAUUAGUUGUCAACUU